rnacentral:rRNA from 1 species
GGCUCAGGACGAACGCGGCGGGCGUGCUUAACACAUGCAAGUCGAGCGGAAAGGCCCUUCGGGGUACUCGAGCGGCGAACGGGUGAGUAACACGUGAGUAAUCUGCCCUUGACUCUGGGAUAGCUCCGGGAAACCGGGAUUAAUACCGGAUAUGACCAUUCAAGACAUGUUGGGUGGUGGAAAGUUUUUCGGUCAGGGAUGAGCUCGCGGCCUAUCAGCUUGUUGGUGGGGUAAUGGCCUACCAAGGCGACGACGGGUAGCCGGCCUGAGAGGGCGACCGGCCACACUGGGACUGAGACACGGCCCAGACUCCUACGGGAGGCAGCAGUGGGGAAUAUUGCGCAAUGGGGGAAACCCUGACGCAGCGACGCCGCGUGCGGGAUGAAGGCCUUCGGGUUGUAAACCGCUUUCAGCAGGGACGAAGCGUGAGUGACGGUACCUGCAGAAGAAGCGCCGGCUAACUACGUGCCAGCAGCCGCGGUAACACGUAGGGCGCGAGCGUUGUCCGGAAUUAUUGGGCGUAAAGAGCUCGUAGGCGGCCUGUUGCGUCCGCUGUGAAAGCCCGGGGCUUAACCCCGGGUCGGCAGUGGAUACGGGCAGGCUAGAGGUAGGUAGGGGAGAAUGGAAUUCCCGGUGUAGCGGUGAAAUGCGCAGAUAUCGGGAGGAACACCGGUGGCGAAGGCGGUUCUCUGGGCCUUACCUGACGCUGAGGAGCGAAAGCGUGGGGAGCGAACAGGAUUAGAUACCCUGGUAGUCCACGCCGUAAACGUUGGGCGCUAGGUGUGGGAUCCUUCCACGGAUUCCGUGCCGCAGCUAACGCAUUAAGCGCCCCGCCUGGGGAGUAC